AAACUUGCGGUGCGUAUCUAUUAACGCAAAAGGGCUGAACUCCCCCGCCAAGAGACAUGGCAUACUAAGAUGGGCUCACAAACAAAACAGACAUCCUACUUAUACAAGAAACCCACUUCACGGCCCAACGCGCUUUCCCCCUCACCAACAGACAUUACCCGAAGAGCUAUAUGGCCCCUUCCCCAGACUCCAAAGCGAAGGGAGUAGCCAUUAUUCUGAGAGCCAACUGCCCCCUCUCAGACGUGGUAUGCAACAGGGACCCGCAGGGACGCUACGUAACCAUACAGGGGAAAGUGGGCACUACAACCUACGCCUUCUCCUCGCUCUACGCACCUACGACACCAGACGCCUCAUUCUGGCAACAACUGACCACACACCUCAACACUUACUCAACUGCGCGACUCGUGGUCGGGGGGUUUUGCAACGCAGUCCACACCCCAGCCACCGACAGGACCUCUACUGCCACGGCACGUUCUCGCCCGUCGCAGAAUGAUUCCCUAUUCCACCAAUUUCUCACCUCACAAAAACUGAUCGACAUAUGGAGGGUACAACACCCGUCAACCAGAGACUACACGUUCUACUCCCACCCGCAUGGCACGUAUUCACGCAUAGACCACUUCCUGGUGACCCCUAACCUAGUACCACAAAUCACUAAAUCUGAAAUCGGCUCUAUAUCGUGGUCCGAUCAUGCGGAAAUAGCUAUCACCCUCGCUCUACCGUCGAUUUAUCGACAAUGGUCAUGGAGGCUGAACCCUCUUCUCCUGCAUGACAAAUCAAUCACCGACAAAAUAGCUAAAGAGCUGAAAGAGUACUUUGACCUAAACACACAGGCGGACACUGCGCCCGCCACGAUAUGGGCCGCCCAUAAAGCGGUCAUCAGGGGCACUCUCAUUAGCCUGG